GAUCAUGGCUCAGGACGAACGCUGGCGGCGUGCCUAAUACAUGCAAGUCGAGCGCGGGAAGCAGUCUGAUCCCUUCGGGGUGACGAUUGUGGAACGAGCGGCGGACGGGUGAGUAACACGUGGGCAACCUGCCUUGCAGACUGGGAUAACCUCGGGAAACCGGGGCUAAUACCGGAUAACCAAUCUCAUCGCAUGGAGAGAUUGUAAAAGUAGGGAUUAUCCUUACACUGCAAGAUGGGCCCGCGGCGCAUUAGCUAGUUGGUGGGGUAAGAGCUCACCAAGGCGACGAUGCGUAGCCGACCUGAGAGGGUGAUCGGCCACACUGGGACUGAGACACGGCCCAGACUCCUACGGGAGGCAGCAGUAGGGAAUCAUCCGCAAUGGGCGAAAGCCUGACGGUGCAACGCCGCGUGAGUGAAGAAGGUUUUCGGAUCGUAAAGCUCUGUUAUUAGGGAAGAACAAGUACAGCUCGAAGAGGGCUGUACCUUGACGGUACCUAAUCAGAAAGCCCCGGCUAACUACGUGCCAGCAGCCGCGGUAAUACGUAGGGGGCAAGCGUUGUCCGGAAUUAUUGGGCGUAAAGGGCGCGCAGGCGGUUUCCUAAGUCUGAUGUGAAAGCCCACGGCUCAACCGUGGAGGGUCAUUGGAAACUGGGGAACUUGAGUGCAAGAGAGGAGAGCGGAAUUCCACGUGUAGCGGUGAAAUGCGUAGAGAUGUGGAGGAACACCAGUGGCGAAGGCGGCUCUCUGGCUUGCAACUGACGCUGAGGCGCGAAAGCGUGGGGAGCGAACAGGAUUAGAUACCCUGGUAGUCCACGCCGUAAACGUUGAGUGCUAGGUGUUAGGGGUUUCGAUGCCCUUAGUGCCGCAGCAAACGCAUUAAGCACUCCGCCUGGGGAGUACGACCGCAAGGUUGAAACUCAAAGGAAUUGACGGGGGCCCGCACAAGCGGUGGAGCAUGUGGUUUAAUUCGACGCAACGCGAAGAACCUUACCAGGUCUUGACAUCUUCUGCUACUUCCAGAGAUGGAUUUGUUCCCCUUCGGGGGACAGAAUGACAGGUGGUGCAUGGUUGUCGUCAGCUCGUGUCGUGAGAUGUUGGGUUAAGUCCCGCAACGAGCGCAACCCUUGACCUUAGUUGCCAGCAUUCAGUUGGGCACUCUAGGGUGACUGCCGGUGACAAACCGGAGGAAGGUGGGGAUGACGUCAAAUCAUCAUGCCCCUUAUGACCUGGGCUA
rnacentral:rRNA from 1 species